rnacentral:misc_RNA from 1 species
AUUUUGAGCAUAAAUCAAAACUUAUGAGUUAAAUUUGAUCAAAAGUUAAAAAUAAGCUAAAUUGAACCUCUCCAACAAAUACAGGGGGCAAAUUGAACCUUAUUCCGUUUAUGUUAAAAGCAAGUUAGCGGUCAGUCUUAAAAAAAAAAUGUUUGUGGUCACUACACCCAACUAAUAAGAAAUUAAGAAAUUAUGUUAUGUAGUGAGACCUACCAUGUUUUGUGAUGAGACCCAUGUUUUAUAGUGGGAUUGAUUAUUAUUUUAAUGAUAAGCCAGUUAUUAAUUGAAUGAGUAUAUACAGUAAGAAGUCCUUGACAAGCCAAGACUCCUGCAGUCAUGCACUUUUUCACUUGCUUUCUCAUUAGAUUUUUUACAUAGUAG